GUACGGGGGGGGGCAAGCGUUGUUCGGAAUUACUGGGCGUAAAGGGCGCGUAGGCGGUUCGCUAAGUUGAAUGUGAAAACUCUGGGCUUAACCCAGAGCCUGCAUUCAAUACUGGCGGGCUAGAGUUCUGGAGGGGAUAGCGGAAUUCCUGGUGUAGCGGUGAAAUGCGUAGAUAUCAGGAGGAACACCGGUGGCGAAGGCGGCUAUCUGGACAGAGUCUGACGCUGAGGCGCGAAAGCUAGGGGAGCAAAGCAGG
rnacentral:rRNA from 1 species